UUGUUGCUGGCCCUCAGAUGGGGGCAUGUGCACACUCUGUUUACACAUCCACUCACACCUGUGCACUCCUCUGUAGUACUGUGGUCUGGGGGUUCUGUCCUCCUACUGUGGUUCUGCGUAUUUAUACACACACACUGUAAUAAAGUCUCAUGGAAUGUAUGCCGCGUUUAACGCAAUGAAAUACAACUUUCAGCAACGGAUCUCUUGGCUCUCGCAUCGAUGAAGAACGCAGCGAAAUGCGAUAAGUAAUGUGAAUUGCAGAAUUCAGUGAAUCAUCGAAUCUUUGAACGCACCUUGCGCCCUUUGGCUAUUCCGAAGGGCAUGCCUGUUUGAGUAUCAUGAACACCUCAACUCUCAUGGCUUGCCAUGAUGAGCUUGGACUUGGGGGUUUUGCUGGCCUACAGUCAGCUCCCCUCAAAUGCAUCAGCUUUCCAGUUUUUGGUGGCACCACAAGUGUGAUAAACAUCUACACGUGUGGUUCCCCACCAUGUAACCUUCAGUGAUGGAGGUUUGCUGGAGCUCACAAAUGUCUUUCCUCAGUGAAGACAGUUCUUUGAUUGUUUGAUCUCAAAUCAGGUAGGACUACCCGCUGAACUUAAGCAUAUCAAUAAGCGGAGGAAAAGAAACUAACAAGGAUUCCCCUAGUAACUGCGAGUGAAGCGGGAAGAGCUCAAAUUUAAAAUCUGACGUGCCUCUGGUCGUCCGAGUUGUAGUCUGGAAAAGUGUUUUCCGUGCUGGACCGUGUACAAGUCUCC
rnacentral:rRNA from 1 species